rnacentral:rRNA from 1 species
GUAUGGGAGUGAGAAUGUUGGCAUGAGUAGCGAGAUGUGGGUGAGAAUCCCACAGGCCGUAAACCCAAGGUUUCCAGGGGAAGGUUCGUCCGCCCUGGGUUAGUCGGGACCUAAGCUGAGGCCGAAAGGCGUAGGUGAUGGACAACAGGUUGAUAUUCCUGUACUACCGAUAACCAUUUGAGAGAAGGGAUGACACAGUAGGAUAAGCUAAGCACACUGUUGGUUAUGUGUGCCCAAGCAUUGAGGCAGUCAAAGUAGGCAAAUCCGCUUUGAUAAUGCUGGGAUGUGAUGGGGAGCGAAAUUUAGUAGCGAAGUAGCUGAUUUCACACUGUCAAGAAAAGUCUCUAUCGAGGUUAAAGGUACCCGUACCGCAAACCGACACAGGUGGGUGAGGAGAGUAUCCUAAGGCCAGCGAGAGAACUGUUGUUAAGGAACUCGGCAAAAUGACCCCGUAACUUAGGGAUAAGGGGUGCCACCAUCAGGUGGCCGCAGAGAAUAGGCCCAAGCGACUGUUUACCAAAAACAUAGGUUUCUGCUAAGUCGCAAGACGAUGUAUAGGAGCUGACGCCUGCCCGGUGCUGGAAGGUUAAGGGGAUCUGUUAGAGCAAUCGAAGCAGUGAACUUAAGCCCCAGUAAACGGCGGCCGUAACUAUAACGGUCCUAAGGUAGCGAAAUUCCUUGUCGGGUAAGUUCCGACCCGCACGAAAGGCGUAACGAUUUGGGCACUGUCUCAACAACAGACUCGGUGAAAUUGUAAUUCCGGUGAAGAUGCCGGAUACCUGCGACAGGACGGAAAGACCCCAUGGAGCUUUACUGUAGCUUGACAUUGGGUCUUGGUACUACAUGUACAGGAUAGGUGGGAGGCUUUGAAACCAGGACGCCAGUUUUGGCGGAGCCAUCCUUGGGAUACCACCCUUGUAGUACUGGGACUCUAACCAUAGGCCAUGAAUCUGGUCUUGGGACACUGUCAGGUGGGCAGUUUGACUGGGGCGGUCGCCUCCCAAAAGGUAACGGAGGCGCUCAAAGGUUCUCUCAGUACGGUCGGAAAUCGUACGUAGAGUGUAAAGGCAAAAGAGAGCUUGAUUGCAAGACAUACAGGUCGAGCAAGGAUGAAAAUCGGACUUAGUGAUCCGGUGGUUCUGCGUGGAAGGGCCAUCGCUCAACGGAUAAAAGCUACCCUGGGGAUAACAGGCUUAUCUCCCCCAAGAGUCCACAUCGACGGGGAGGUUUGGCACCUCGAUGUCGGCUCAUCACAUCCUGGGGCUGUAGUAGGUCCCAAGGGUUGGGCUGUUCGCCCAUUAAAGUGGUACGCGAGCUGGGUUCAGAACGUCGUGAGACAGUUCGGUCCCUAUCCGUCGCAGGCGUAGGAAAUUUGAGAAGACCUGUCCUUAGUACGAGAGGACCGGGAUGGACGUACCUCUGGUGUACCAGUUGUCCUGCCAAGGGCAUGGCUGGGUAGCUAUGUACGGAAUGGAUAAGCGCUGAAAGCAUCUAAGCGCGAAGCCAACUUCAAGAUAAGAUUUCCCACCGCAAGGGUAAGACCCCAGAAAGACUAUCUGGUUGA